UUUUGGAGGGUGGGCCGUGAGAUCCGAAGGACAGACGGUUCUUACCGUGUUGCUGAGGCGGGAAGCUCGGCAACGUCCUCGACUCGACGAGCUGCGCGACCUCGGACGCGGAGGCCGCAACCAGAAGCCAUAGAAGGAGCAGGGAUGGCUUGA